UACGUAGGGUGCGAGCGUUUGUCCGGAAUUAUUGGGCGUAAAGGGCUCGUAGGCGGUUUGUCGCGUCGGGAGUGAAAACACUGGGCUUAACCCAGUGCUUGCUUUCGAUACGGGCAGACUAGAGGUAUGCAGGGGAGAACGGAAUUCCUGGUGUAGCGGUGAAAUGCGCAGAUAUCAGGAGGAACACCGGUGGCGAAGGCGGUUCUCUGGGCAUGAUCUGACGCUGAGGAGCGAAAGUGUGGGGAGCGAACAGG
rnacentral:rRNA from 1 species